CAAAAUCGAGUGCCAGACGAAAGGCAAGAGCAUCGAGGAAUGUGACAACUACAUCAGGAUGAUGCACACUCUGGAUGAUGGCAGAAUUCUGGCUUGUGGAACCAAGGCAUUCGAACCUACCUGCACACACCUGAUGGUCGACAAAGGACAUAUCACCAUGGAGAACACAACUCACAGUGGCAGAGGGAAAAUUCCCUUUAGCCCCAAAGAAAAAUUUACCUCCAUAAUGGAAGGUUGGUGCAACACUU